ACAUGCAAGUCGAACGGCAGCACGGAGCUUGCUCUGGUGGCGAGUGGCGAACGGGUGAGUAAUAUAUCGGAACGUACCCAAGAGUGGGGGAUAACGUAGCGAAAGUUACGCUAAUACCGCAUACGAUCUAAGGAUGAAAGUGGGGGACCGCAAGGCCUCGUGCUCCUGGAGCGGCCGAUAUCUGAUUAGCUAGUUGGUGAGGUAAAGGCUCACCAAGGCAUCGAUCAGUAGCUGGUCUGAGAGGACGACCAGCCACACUGGAACUGAGACACGGUCCAGACUCCUACGGGAGGCAGCAGUGGGGAAUUUUGGACAAUGGGGGCAACCCUGAUCCAGCAAUGCCGCGUGAGUGAAGAAGGCCUUCGGGUUGUAAAGCUCUUUUGUCAGGGAAGAAACGGUGAGGGCUAAUAUCCCUUGCUAAUGACGGUACCUGAAGAAUAAGCACCGGCUAACUACGUGCCAGCAGCCGCGGUAAUACGUAGGGUGCAAGCGUUAAUCGGAAUUACUGGGCGUAAAGCGUGCGCAGGCGGUUUUGUAAGACUGUCGUGAAAUCCCCGGGCUCAACCUGGGAAUGGCGAUGGUGACUGCAAGGCUAGAGUUUGGCAGAGGGGGGUAGAAUUCCACGUGUAGCAGUGAAAUGCGUAGAUAUGUGGAGGAACACCGAUGGCGAAGGCAGCCCCCUGGGUCAAAACUGACGCUCAUGCACGAAAGCGUGGGGAGCAAACAGGAUUAGAUACCCUGGUAGUCCACGCCCUAAACGAUGUCUACUAGUUGUCGGGUCUUAAUUGACUUGGUAACGCAGCUAACGCGUGAAGUAGACCGCCUGGGGAGUACGGUCGCAAGAUUAAAACUCAAAGGAAUUGACGGGGACCCGCACAAGCGGUGGAUGAUGUGGAUUAAUUCGAUGCAACGCGAAAAACCUUACCUACCCUUGACAUGGCAGGAAUCCCGGAGAGAUUUGGGAGUGCUCGAAAGAGAACCUGCACACAGGUGCUGCAUGGCUGUCGUCAGCUCGUGUCGUGAGAUGUUGGGUUAAGUCCCGCAACGAGCGCAACCCUUGUCAUUAGUUGCUACGCAAGAGCACUCUAAUGAGACUGCCGGUGACAAACCGGAGGAAGGUGGGGAUGACGUCAAGUCCUCAUGGCCCUUAUGGGUAGGGCUUCACACGUCAUACAAUGGUACAUACAGAGGGCCGCCAACCCGCGAGGGGGAGCUAAUCCCAGAAAGUGUAUCGUAGUCCGGAUUGUAGUCUGCAACUCGACUGCAUGAAGUUGGAAUCGCUAGUAAUCGCGGAUCAGCAUGUCGCGGUGAAUACGUUCCCGGGUCUUGUACACACCGCCCGUCACACCAUGGGAGCGGGUUUUACCAGAAGUAGGUAGCUUAACCGCAAGGAGGGCGCUUACCACGGUAGGAUUCGUGACUGGGGUGAAGUCGUAACAAG
rnacentral:rRNA from 1 species